rnacentral:tRNA from 1 species
UUAAAAAUAAGCUAAAUUUAAGCUUUUGGGCUCAUACCCCACUUAUAAAGGUAAACCUUUUUUUUAAA